GUUGAGUCCUCACCAUUUCCCAGCCAGCAGGAAGGAGAAUGAAGGAAGUUGAGGAUACAAAUGGAGCCAAGGCUUUCAACCCAGAAUCUGCACAGCAAUCACUUCUUAAAAUGCAUCCACUGUUGGUGGAAAUGCCACCCUCACUCUUGACCAACUACCUCUCCUCUGGGAUUGACUGACCAGGACUGCACAAGGCCUAAGUGGGACAGGCACCAAGAGUUGAUCCAAGGAGAAGAAGUGACUAUGACGAGACCAUGAGUGCCAAAAGGCAGCGAAGGAUUGCCUAUGGGUGAA